rnacentral:Y_RNA from 1 species
AGCUGGUCCAUAGGUAGUGAGUUAUCUCAGUUGAUUGUUCACAGUCAGUUACAGAUUGAUUUCCUUGUUUUAUUCUUUCCCCUUCUCACUACUGUACUUGAUCAGUCUUUA